UCCCUCCACUUAUUUUUAUUCUUGGACUUUUUUAUACAAUAAUUUUUUAAAAUUUUAUUAUUUGCGAAAUAAUUUUACCAAAAUUAUAUUUAAAAAACUAAUCUCUUAAAAACGGUGAAUGGUUCACCGCCUUUACCUUCUAAAAAAAGCGGUGAAUUAUUCAUCACCUCUCACUUGUUUAUUAUUUUAUUUCUAUAAAAUCCUAACAACCACAUAAAUAUUUCAACAAAUUACAUAUAAUUUUAAUAAUCUAAAAAUUUUAAUAAUUUAUCCAUACAAUCCUAACAAUCGAUCCUAAUAAUCUAUUCAUACAAUCGUAAUAAUCAAAUAUCACAUAUAAUUUUAACAAUUUAAAAAUUCUAAUAAUAUAUCAAUAUAAUCCUAAUAAUUAAUAAAUUUUUAAUAAUCUAUCCAUACAAUUCUAAUAAUUAAACAAAAAUUCUAAUAUUUCACACACAAUCCUAACAACCUCACUUUUUUUAUUUUCCGUAUAAUCUACGUACAAUUUUAACAACUUUAUUUUUUUCUCUUUUUCAAAAAAUUAUGAAAAAUUCACCGUCUUUAAAAGACGGUGAAUGAUUCACCGUCUUUAAAAGACCUUAAAAGAAUUUUAGAAUGCGGUGAAUGAUUCACCGUUUUUCGAGAGUUAAUUUGUCAAAUAUAAAUUUAAAAGGGUUAGUUCAUAAAUUAUAAAAUUUUGGAUCGUUGUUUUGUAAAAAAAGUG
rnacentral:lncRNA from 1 species